CUUGGGGGUUGCUUGGGACCCCACUUUGGCAUUUGUUUGCCACAUUUUUCUAAGCUGGAUGUUCAUUAGUACCCAGGGGCUAUGGCCAAGCCAAGUUCCUCCACUCCACUCUGUUCUCUUCUACUGCAAGCCUCCAGCCUGAGCCUAGUAAAUGAGUCCCGCUCUUCAUGCCCUCAACUUUCUUCUCUCCACUAACUCUGCUUUAUGAGGGAACACAACUCUGUAAACAUCAGAAUACAGGAAGAGCAAAAGAGAGAGAG
rnacentral:lncRNA from 1 species